rnacentral:lncRNA from 1 species
UGAGUAGGUGUGUCCAAACUUUGAGGUUGAGUUUAUUGAGUUAAUUUUAUUUUUACAGGGACAGUGCACAUUAAUCAACGUUUCAGUAGAAGUGCCGGUUUUAGCCAGCCGGCUAAUUUUCAACCGCAGUCCCUGGGCAGGUUAUUAAAAACAAUUACAAUACUGACAAUCAAUGAGCAGUGAGCACACGUAGAGCAUCUUUGGACCAGCAAGACAUAGCAUGCAGACAGAGCAACAUAGCACAAAAAGCAACAAGACAAAAUCCAUAAAAGCAACAGUGUUUCCACACCUCACAAGGUACAGACAACAGACAACAUGGAAAGCGGCAAUACACAGCUAGGGAUUAUGUUCACAAAUCUGAUUCACCUUUAGCCAUGUCUUCAUGUUUUUUGUGAAAGUGUGAUAGGUGGUGCAGUUAUGUGUGUCUGAUGGCAGUGUAUUCCAGACGUGGGAAGCUCUCACAGAGAAAGCGGAUUGACUCAAGGUGUUUUUCCUUAAGGGAACUAUAUCAAAUCAAAUCAAAUCAAAUUUAUUUAUAUAGCCCUUCGUACAUCAGCUGACAUCUCAAAGUGCUGUACAGAAACCCAGCCUAAAACCCCAAACAGCAAGCAAUGCAUGUGAAAGAAGCACGGUGGCUAGGAAAAACUCCCUAGAAAGGCCAAAAACCUAGGAAGAAACCUAGAGAGGAACCAGGCUAUGAGGGGUGGCCAGUCCUCUUCUGGCUGUGCAGGGUGGAUAUUAUAACAGAACAUGGUCAAGAUGUUAAAAUGUUCAUAAAUGACCAGCAUGGUCAAAUAAUAAUAAUCAUAGUAGUUGUCGAGGGUGCAACAAGCACGUCCGGUGAACAGGUCAGGGUUCCAUAGCCGCAGGCAGAACAGUUGAAACUGGAGCAGCAGCACGGCCAGGUGGACUGGGGACAGCAAGGAGUCAUCAUACCAGGUAGUCCUGAGGCAUGGUCCUAGGGCUCAGAUCCUCCGAGAGAAAGACAGAAAGAGAGAAAGAGAGAAUUAGAGAGAGCAUAUUUAAAUUCACACAGGACACCGGAUAAGACAAGAGAAAUACUCCAGAUGUAACAGACUGACCCUAGCCCCCGACACAUAAACUACUGCAGCAUAAAUACUGGAGGCUGAGACAGGAGGGAUCAGAAGACACUGUGGCCCCAUCCGAUGAUACCCCCGGACAGGGCCAAACAGGCAGGAUAUAACCCCACCCACUUUGCCAAUUACAGCCCCCACACCACUAGAGGGAUGUCUCCAACCACCAACUUACCGUCCUAAGACAAGGCCGAGUAUAGCCCACAACGAUCUCCGCCAUGGCACAACCCAAGGGGGCGCCAACCCAGACAGGAAGACCACGUCAGUGACUCAACCCACUCAAGUGACGCACCCCUCCCAUGGACGGCAUGGAAGAACACCAGUAAGCCAGUGACUCAGCCCCUGUAAUAGGGUUAGAGGCAGAGAAUCCCGGUGGAAAGAGGGGAACCGGCAAGGCAGAGACAGCAAGGGCGGUUCGUUGCUCCAGCCUUUCCGUUCACCUUCACACUCCUGGGCCAGACUAUACUUAAUCAUAGGACCUACUGAAGAGAUAAGUCUUCAGUAAAGACUUAAAGGUUGAGACUGAGUCUGCGUCUCUCACAUUGGUAGGCAGACCAUUCCAUAAAAAUGGAGCUCUAUAGGAGAAAGCCCUACCUCCAGCCGUUUGCUUAGACAUUCUAGGGACAAUUAGGAGGCCUGCGUCUUGUGACCGUAGCGUACGUGUAGGUAUGUACGGCAGGACCAAAUCGGAAAGAUAGGUAGGAGCAAGCCCAUGUAAUGCUUUGUAGGUUAGCAGUAAAACCUUGAAAUCAGCCCUUGCCUUAACAGGAAGCCAGUGUAUACAGUCACCUCUCAUGGCAGACCUUGUGGAUCUGCUGCCAUAUGUUUGGGUUUUCUGUUUAACAAAAGUACUGAGUGGAGGGGGAGCCAGGCCAUUUAGGAUCUUGAAUACAAGACAUGCGUCGGUGUAUUACACAAGAUUUUCCCAACUCAGGAGCGCAUGCUUUCUGAGGAUGUAACAGUGAUGAUGGCUUUUGGGCUUCCUAUCAAGCACUUUGAGAGCCUGUUUGUAGACAGACUGAAUGGGUUUUAAUGUUGUACAGCAAGCUUGGGCCCAACUAGUCAAGCAGUAUGUUAGGUGGCGGAGUCAAACAAAUACGUAUAAAUCAGAAAUUAGCUAUGUUGAAUUUGGUUAUUUGAAUGACCUUUUUCACCUGCUUUUUAAAAGAGAGGUUGGAAUCAAGUAUGAUGCCAACGUACUUAAAAUCAGAUACCACCUGGAGCUUCUCCCCUGACACAUAGACAUCUGGCUCAGUAGCAUCUGUUGCCCUCUUUGUGAAGAACAUGCAGACAGUUUUUUUCAUAUUGAGAUGCAAACACGAGUCACUGAGCCACUUUGUAACCUGGACCAUUACAGUAGAUAUUUCUUGUGCAGCUUGUUGUUUGCUCUUUGCAUGCACAUAUAUCACUGUAUCAUCCGUAUACAUUUGAACUUCAGACCCAGUACAGACAGAAGGCAGAUCAUUAAUGUACAGGCUGAACAGGAGGGGCUCCAGUAUUGACCCUUGGGGCACGCCCACAUCAUAGCUAAGAGUGGACAACAGCUCAUUGCUCACUCUGACACACUGAGUUCUGCCUUCAAGGUAUGCUUUCAUCCAUCUCAAGGCAUCGGGGGAAAAGUUGAACUUGGACAAUUUUGUGAUGAGAUCCUCAUGGUUAACAGUAUCAAAAGUCUUCCUUAGGUCCAGAAACACAGCCCCAAUAAUGCCCCCUUUGUCCAUCUUGGACUUCACAUUUUCCAGAAGAAAGCAGUUGGCCGUUUCUGUGGAGUGUUUCGCUCUGAAGCCAAACUGCAUGGAGUGUAAUGUGAAGGGGCUGUUGUUGAGGUGGGCAAUCAGUUGUUCUGCUACACCAUUUUCAACAACCUUCGACACCACAGGCAGUAUACUAAUGGGCCCGUAGUUGCUCACGUCAGCAGGGCCACCCGAUUUAAAGAUGGCCGUUAUGAUGGCCGACUUCCAUACCCUUGGAAACACCCGCAGACCAAUAGAUGUGUUGGUGACCUUAGUAAUGGGGCCAAUGAGUGAAUCUUUGUAGUUUUUAAGAAAGGUAGAGUCCAGCCCAAACACAUCUUUGGCUUUAGAGUUCUUUAGUGAGCUAAUCACCUUGUUCACCUUUGACUCAGAAACCUCCAGAAAUCACCUUUUGACUGUUACUGUGUGUAAAUGUGAUAUUUCAGUAUUUGAUUUUGUAUAAAUUUGCUAAAACCUGUUUUUGCUUCAUCAUUAUGGGCUAUUGUGUGUAGAUUGAUGAGGGGAAACAACUAUUUAAUAUAUUUUAGUAUAAGGCUGUAACCUAACAAAAUGUGGAAAAAGUCCAGGGGUCUGAAUACUUUCUGAAGGCAAUGUAUAUACUGCAUUCUAUUGUAUUUUAGUCAAAGCCACUCCGACAUUGCUCGUCCUAAUAUUUAUAUAUUUCUUAAUUUCCAUUCUUUUACUUUUCGAUUUGUGUGUAUUGUUGUGAAUUGUUAGAUACUACUGCACUGCUGGAGCUAGGAACACAAGCAUUUUCCUACACCCACAAUAACAUCUGCUAAAUAUGUGUAUGUGACCAAUACAUGGACAAAAUAAAAAUCAUAUCACAAUAUCUUUCAAAUUUUUGACGUUAUGACAGUAUUUGCCGGAAUUUUAUGUUAUUGAAUAAUAAAAGUUCUGAAUAUGCUUUAUGAGUAGUUGAUGACCCUUGGGUGGCAACACAUAUAUUAUACAUGAUUUCAAUGGGGCUUUCUCCAUUUAUACUGUUCAAUCGAACUCAAAAGAAAAAUAAUUUUCAGCAUUUCAUAAAUUUCUGCAUUUCCUGCACUUUUAUUUUCAUUUCCACAUUGUUCCAUGCAGCAUGAUAUGGGCCCAACAAAUCUAGGUCUAGUUAAUUGAACUGUCGGAAUCAUGGAAAUAGAAUGAUUAUUUUAAUUCUAUAGUUGGAAUAUAGUGGCCAGCACAUUGAAUACAUUGUUGAUUGGCAUGACAACAAAUGAUUAAGCCAGUGAGGAAUUGUCGACAGGAUAGGAACCAAAGUUUUUGUCAGUGUUUCCAGGUGACCCUAAUUAGAUUUUACAGUAUUUUUUUCAUACUUCAUGUAGCUAGCUAGUUAGCCAACAUAUUAAUCCUUCACUUAUUCCUCUCUGAUUUAGAAGAUACUGUUGCACAAACACGCUUAUCUAGGCCUACACCAGCACUGGUACCAGGCAGUAUUAGCUAACUAGCUACAUUUGCUCUGACUCUUAUUUUAGCAAGCUAGCUAGCCAGAUAACUAGCGAUUAGCAUUAGCAGCUAACACAAAUUAUUUUAGCAACACCUUGCUAACAAAAGACAAACUAGCAAACAGUAAGAUACAUAAACAAAUAGUGUAAUUAUAGAACGCUUGUGAAAAGCAGCAUGUAACCAACAUUGUAUCCACCUGACCAUGUGGAGGGAAUGGUAGAAAGGACUUUGUGGAUGAGCAUCUGCUCUCUCCAUGAGUGACAGGAGGCAGGGCUUGGUGUGGUUAACGGCAUGGAGGAGGAGAGGAAGAGAGAUGACUCCAGAAGCACAGAAGCAAACAGAUUAAACUUCAAAACUGACAUUAUACUCGCUGGAGUUGCGUAUCACAUUUAACAUACCAAACAUUGAAAUACCAUUAUAGAAGGUCAAGUAAAAACUCAUACCGAUCCGUGCAUCAAUACCGGUAUAUAGUAAAAUACGGUAUACAAGCCAGCCC